CACGUAGGGUGCGAGCGUUGUCCGGAAUUAUUGGGCGUAAAGAGCUCGUAGGCGGUGUGUCGCGUCGGCCGUGAAAACCUGCAGCUUAACUGUGGGCGUGCGGUCGAUACGGGCAUCAUUGGAGUUCGGCAGGGGAGACUGGAAUUCCUGGUGUAGCGGUGAAAUGCGCAGAUAUCAGGAGGAACACCGGUGGCGAAGGCGGGUCUCUGGGCCGAUACUGACGCUGAGGAGCGAAAGCGUGGGGGAGCGAACAGG
rnacentral:rRNA from 1 species